GGGCCAUAGCUCAGUGGCGGAGCAUCUGCUUUGCAUGCCUAAGGUCCCCGGUUCAAUCCCCAGCAUCUCCA
rnacentral:tRNA from 1 species